GGGGCUGAAAUUAGCUCGACGGUUGAACUUUAACAAGCUUCUACGCGCAGGUCGGUUCGCACUGAACGUUAUCCGGUGUAACAACAAUAAACGCCAAAAACGUUUUGGCUUCUGCAAGUAACUUCCUUUUUGGUCGUUCACUCGCGACAGAAGCUGUCGUAGCCUAAUUUAUAAAUAGGCUACCCGCCGGUAUUCUGACAUCAGAUAGGGGUUUGCCGGUGUCAUAUUAUCUGAUUGCUUCUGCCAAGGUGGUCCGCCGCUGGCAGACCAAGACCAACGGACUUUAGUACGGUUUGCUUUUGAUUGUUUUUAGGACCGUGCUUAAGAAAUACCAAACGAUCUAAACCUGUAGUGCGUAAGCGAGUUAUCAAUCGGACGUGGGGGCAGUACCCACCAGCUCCACCA
rnacentral:tmRNA from 3 species